AGCGAACGCUGGCGGCAGGCCUAACACAUGCAAGUCGAACGCCCCGCAAGGGGAGUGGCAGACGGGUGAGUAACGCGUGGGAAUCUACCUAGUUCUACGGAACAACUGAGGGAAACUUCAGCUAAUACCGUAUACGCCCUAAGGGGGAAAGAUUUAUCGGAAUUAGAUGAGCCCGCGUUGGAUUAGCUAGUUGGUGGGGUAAUGGCCUACCAAGGCGACGAUCUAUAGCUGGUCUGAGAGGAUGAUCAGCCACACUGGGACUGAGACACGGCCCAGACUCCUACGGGAGGCAGCAGUGGGGAAUAUUGGACAAUGGGCGCAAGCCUGAUCCAGCCAUGCCGCGUGAGUGAUGAAGGCCUUAGGGUUGUAAAGCUCUUUCAGUGGGGACGAUAAUGACGGUACCCACAGAAGAAGCCCCGGCUAACUUCGUGCCAGCCGCCGCGGUAAGAC
rnacentral:rRNA from 1 species